UUAUAUAAGUUAUCGUUUAUUUGAUAGUACCUUACUACUUGGAUAACCGUGGUAAUUCUAGAGCUAAUACAUGCUUCAAAUCCCGACUUCGGAAGGGAUGUAUUUAUUAGAUUAAAAACCAAUGCCCUCUGGGCUCCUUGGUGAUUCAUAAUAACUUUUCGAAUCGCAUGGCCUUGCGCCGGCGAUGGUUCAUUCAAAUUUCUUCCCUAUCAACUUUCGAUGUUUGGGUAUUGGCCAAACAUGGUUACAACGGGUAACGGAGGGUUAGGGCUCGACCCCGGAGAAGGAGCCUGAGAAACGGCUACUACAUCCAAGGAAGGCAGCAGGCGCGCAAAUUACCCAAUCCCGAUUCGGGGAGGUAGUGACAAUAAAUACUGAUACAGGGCUCUUUUGGGUCUUGUAAUUGGAAUGAGUACAAUUUAAAUCCCUUAACGAGGAACAAUUGGAGGGCAAGUCUGGUGCCAGCAGCCGCGGUAAUUCCAGCUCCAAUAGCGUAUAUUAAAGUUGUUGUGGUUAAAAAGCUCGUAGUUGAACCUUGGGCCUGGCUGGCCGGUCCGCCUCACCGCGAGUACUGGUCCGGCCGGGCCUUUCCCUCUGUGGAACCCCAUGCCCUUCACUGGGUGUGGCGGGGAAACAGGACUUUUACUUUGAAAAAAUUAGAGUGCUCCAGGCAGGCCUAUGCUCGAAUACAUUAGCAUGGAAUAAUAAAAUAGGACGCGUGGUUCUAUUUUGUUGGUUUCUAGGACCGCCGUAAUGAUUAAUAGGGACAGUCGGGGGCAUCAGUAUUCAAUUGUCAGAGGUGAAAUUCUUGGAUUUAUUGAAGACUAACUACUGCGAAAGCAUUUGCCAAGGAUGUUUUCAU
rnacentral:rRNA from 1 species